GUGGGGAAUAUUGGACAAUGGGCGCAAGCCUGAUCCAGCAAUGCCGCGUGGGUGAAGAAGGCCUUCGGGUUGUAAACUGCUUUUGUACGGAACGAAACGGUCCUGGUUAAUACCUGGGGCUAAUGACGGUACCGUAAGAAUAAGCACCGGCUAACUACGUGCCAGCAGCCGCGGUAAUACGUAGGGUGCGAGCGUUAAUCGGAAUUACUGGGCGUAAAGCGUGCGCAGGCGGUGCUGUAAGACAGGCGUGAAAUCCCCGGGCUCAACCUGGGAAUUGCGCUUGUGACUGCAGUGCUGGAGUACGGCAGAGGGGGAUGGAAUUCCGCGUGUAGCAGUGAAAUGCGUAGAUAUGCGGAGGAACACCGAUGGCGAAGGCAGUCCCCUGGGCCUGUACUGACGCUCAUGCACGAAAGCGUGGGGAGCAAACAGGAUUAGAUACCCGUGUAGUCC
rnacentral:rRNA from 1 species